rnacentral:rRNA from 1 species
UCAUACGCUGGCGGCGUGCCUAAUACAUGCAAGUCGAGCGGACAGAUGGGAGCUUGCUCCCUGAUGUUAGCGGCGGACGGGUGAGUAACACGUGGGUAACCUGCCUGUAAGACUGGGAUAACUCCGGGAAACCGGGGCUAAUACCGGAUGGUUGUUUGAACCGCAUGGUUCAGACAUAAAAGGUGGCUUCGGCUACCACUUACAGAUGGACCCGCGGCGCAUUAGCUAGUUGGUGAGGUAACGGCUCACCAAGGCAACGAUGCGUAGCCGACCUGAGAGGGUGAUCGGCCACACUGGGACUGAGACACGGCCCAGACUCCUACGGGAGGCAGCAGUAGGGAAUCUUCCGCAAUGGACGAAAGUCUGACGGAGCAACGCCGCGUGAGUGAUGAAGGUUUUCGGAUCGUAAAGCUCUGUUGUUAGGGAAGAACAAGUGCCGUUCAAAUAGGGCGGCACCUUGACGGUACCUAACCAGAAAGCCACGGCUAACUACGUGCCAGCAGCCGCGGUAAUACGUAGGUGGCAAGCGUUGUCCGGAAUUAUUGGGCGUAAGGGCUCGC